GGUCUUUAAUUGCGAACCCCACUGCCGCUCACAGAAGCAGUGACCACGGUGCUUGAGGCGCACAUCAUUAUGGGCGCCGUGCGCCGCUGCUCUCCUCGAUAGAUGCUUCGGAUGUUACAAAUUUCCAUUCAUUUCCGCCGUGCGCCUACGGAUUUGGUUCUAUUCAUUUCAUUCCCAACACUAUUUCCAUUGAUUUCCCCAUCUUUUUCCAUUUCAAAACAUCAGCCCAGCUCGGUGUGUGAGUUUCUUCGACAAAUGCUUCAUUUCCUUUAAUUUCCUAUAUUUA
rnacentral:lncRNA from 1 species